rnacentral:rRNA from 1 species
UAACGCGUGAGGAACCUGCCUCAAAGAGGGGGACAACAGUUGGAAACGACUGCUAAUACCGCAUAAGCCCACAGCUCGGCAUCGAGCAGAGGGAAAAGGAGUGAUCCGCUUUGAGAUGGCCUCGCGUCCGAUUAGCUAGUUGGUGAGGUGAUGGCCCACCAAGGCGACGAUCGGUAGCCGGACUGGGAGGUUGAACGGCCACAUUGGGACUGAGACACGGCCCAG